CAAGCGUUGUCCGGAAUUAUUGGGCGUAAAGAGCGCGUAGGCGGUCCGAUAAGUCGGCUGUGAAAACUCGAGGCUCAACCUCGAGACGUCGGCGGAAACCAUCUGGCUAGAGUCCGGAAGAGGAGAGUGGAAUUCCUGGUGUAGCGGUGAAAUGCGCAGAUAUCAGGAAGAACACCCGUGGCGAAGGCGGCUCUCUGGGACGGUACUGACGCUGAGACGCGAAAGCGUGGGGAGCGAACAGG
rnacentral:rRNA from 1 species